rnacentral:rRNA from 1 species
GACGAACGCUGGCGGCGUGCUUAACACAUGCAAGUCGAACGGAAAGGCCCUGCUUUUGUGGGGUGCUCGAGUGGCGAACGGGGGAGUAACACGUGAGUAACCUGCCCUUGACUUUGGGAUAACUUCAGGAAACUGGGGCUAAUACCGGAUAGGAGCUCCUGCUGCACGGUGGGGGUUGGAAAGUGUCGGCGGUUGGGGAUGGACUCGCGGCUUAUCAGCUGGUUGGUGGGGUAGGGGCUUACCAAGGUUUUGACGGGUAGCCGGCCUGAGAGCGUGACCGGCCACAUUGGGACUAAGGUACGGAGCAGACUGCUACGGGAGGCAGCAGUGGGGAAUAUUGCGCAAUGAGCCGAAGCCUGAGACAGCAGCGCCGCGUGCGGAAUGCCGGCCUACGAGUUGUAAACCGCUUUCGCCUGAAACGAAGCCUGAGUGACGGUAACGGAUAAGAAAGCACCGGCUAACUACGUG